CAGGACGAACGCUGGCGGCGUGCCUAAUACAUGCAAGUCGAACGGUCUUUCUAUGGAAGCUUGCUUCCACUGAGAAGAUAGUGGCGAACGGGUGAGUAACACGUGGGUAACCUGCCCAUAAGAGGGGGGAUAACAUCCGGAAACGGGUGCUAAUACCGCAUAGUUUUCUUGAUCGCAUGAUCGGGAAAGGAAAGACGGCCUUUGUGCUGUCGCUUAUGGAUGGACCCGCGGCGUAUUAGUUAGUUGGUGAGGUAACGGCUCACCAAGACGAUGAUACGUAGCCGACCUGAGAGGGUGAUCGGCCACAUUGGGACUGAGACACGGCCCAAACUCCUACGGGAGGCAGCAGUAGGGAAUCUUCCGCAAUGGACGAAAGUCUGACGGAGCAACGCCGCGUGAGUGAAGAAGGUUUUCGGAUCCGCAAAACUCUGUUGUCAGAGAAGAACAAGUUGGAGAGUAACUGCUCCAGCCUUGACGGUAUCUGACCAGAAAGCCACGGCUAACUACGUGCCAGCAGCAGC
rnacentral:rRNA from 1 species